AGCAAAAUGAUGAGCUGCUUUGAUCUGAAAUACAUGUGGAUAACAUUAAAAGGUCUUCAUAGUUCUCUGAUUGCU